rnacentral:lncRNA from 1 species
GUUUCUAUUCUACGUGCUACAAAGGAGAAUAGGAGAAGCAAUUUAGCCUCUCUCUACUCCACAUUUACUCCAGGGGAGGAGUGACUUAAGGAACUAGACCAGCCUGACCUGACUCUCCCUCUCUCUCCCUCUCGCACUCUCACCGGCUCGCCUUUCUUGCCAAAAGAGUGGUUGCAUCCUCUUCCAGCCCUGCUCUCCGCAUAAGCACACUUGAGUCAAGGCCCAGGCUUGCCUACGAGAUGGCCCCUCUCUCCCUCCUUCCCUAAUGGGGCAGUAAUUCUGGUUGAGUGCUUGCAAGAGUCUGAGGACUUGAAUGAAAGCAGACUGGCUGAGCUUAGUCCUGAGGACAGAGACACAGCUGGCGGGGGAGAAGGGUUCACUGAGGUAAGGGGGUUCCUUUUCUCUCCUCCAUGAUUGUUCUUACAACAGAGGGUUAUUUAUCCUUGAAUGUAACAUUCCACCAAAAUAAACUGCUUCUUGCACUGAUCCCAAGUUCUAUAGGUUCAUUUAGGAAAUCAUUAUUAAAACAUUAUGAGCAUCUCAUAAGUUUACUGUGUGCUAGGAAUUUAGUAAGCUAUAGAUGAGGCAGGCAGCCUGUAAGAUGGCCCCC